AUAGACCUAGUCAUCAAUCCAAUGUCCCACAUAAGAAUCCCCAAUUUAAAAAUGAUAAAGUAAUCUUUAAGCUUAAAAGUGAUAGAAUUCUUAAGGACCCAUACCAAGACCAGAUAAGUGAGGCUAGUACUAAUGCUAGCCAAAAUAUGAAUUUAGAAGAAGAGGUUAGUACUGAAGCUAACCCAAUAGAAGAACUUGAGCUUAGUACUGAUGCUGAUCUAAGUGAAGAAAAGAAGAGAGUGGAUGAGUUACCCA
rnacentral:lncRNA from 1 species